GACGUAGGGCGCGAGCGUUGUCCGGAUUUAUUGGGCGUAAAGAGCUCGUAGGCGGCUUGUUACGUCGACUGUGAAAACCCGCGGCUCAACCGUGUGGUCUGCAGUCGAUACGGGCAGGCUAGAAUUCGGUAGGGGAGACUGGAAUUCCUGGUGUAGCGGUGAAAUGCGCAGAUAUCAGGAGGAACACCGGUGGCGAAGGCGGAUCUCUGGGCCUGUUCUGACGCUGAGGCGCGAAAGCUAGGGGAGCGAACAGG
rnacentral:rRNA from 1 species